AUUAUGACAAGAGACAAAGACAUUUUGAUCAUUUGAGGGGUGCCUUCUUGGCACUGUUCACCACGAACAAAGGGGAGAGGUUGUUGGGGUUUUUUCGCCGCCACUAGAAGGGAGCCUCCUUCUCCGUUCGCCUUCUCCCUCGUUGCUGGUAGACGUGACCGUGGCCAAAGACAUCAAUGACUCUCCCUCUUGCACUCCUCUCCUUGCUAACGCCGGCCGUCGCUUCCCUCCCUCUCUUCCUCCUGUCGCCGCCGCAAAAGUGCACGCAAGAAAGGGAAGGUCUUCUUCUCCCUGUAGACCGCUGACAUCGCCGCCUCGGCUCUCCUCCAAAGUCGGCUGCCUCCAAGGCCGACCAUCCCUUUUCUCCACCUCGACCGUUGCCUCCGUUUGUAGCUCUGCGCAUGUCGCCUUCUCAGGUCGCCACCAGCGUCACCGGAGCCAACACCCACGCUCUCCUCUUCCUCUCUCCCCGACGGCCAUCGCCAACGGCUGCCAUGGCGUCUGAUCACCAGGACGCACCUCGUUGCUGUCUUCCCUUACACAAGCAACAGUCCUCUUCCUCCUCAGCGUCGCCUCUCUCGCUAUCUCCAUGCUGACGCGUCUUUCCCUUUUCUGAGCGUCUCUUCCUCUCGUCGUAUGAUAGCCGUCCCUUGGCACCAUAGUCGGCCAUCUCGACCAGCCCCAAUCUUUUGCUCCGCUGUGUUGCUGCCGCUGUAGAAGUUGCCAUUCACAAGUAUGAGCAACAGUCUCGUCCUAUCAAUUGGGGUGUUCAUAUCGUGCCGGAAAAGAAGGCCUAUGUCGUGGAGAGGUUCGGAAAAUACCAUCGAAUCCUAGACUUUGGGAUUCAUAUUCUUGUCUCAUUCGUCGACCGAAUUGUGGACGUGCACUCCCUCGCGGAUAAGACCAUCCUCAUUUACCAAUCCGCCAUCACGAAGGACUAUGUCCCCAUCCAAUUCAAUGGGGUUCUGUAUGUUAAGAUAGUUGAUCCCAUCCUAGCUUCCUAUAGGGUGGUGGAUAACCCAAUAUUUACAAUAAUCCACCUCAUAGAGACGACGAUGAGCAAUGAGUUGAGAAGAUCACUCUCGAUCGACGAUGAGCAAUGAGCUGAGGAAGAUCACUCGAUGAAACUUUCAAAGAAAAGGAGGCUCUAGAUGAGAACAUUGUGGGAAUAUAUCUCCACCACCUAAAGUUCUGAAGAUGCAAGCUGCCGCUCUGAAGAUGUAAGUUGAAGUAGAAAGAAGAAAACAUGCUCGAGUUCUUGAAUCUGAAGGAGAAGCUGAAGCAACCCUUAAUAGGUCUAAGGCAAUUACUCAAAGUCUCGAGAUAGUUUCACAAACCAUCAAUGCUCAAGGUGGUGCAGAGGGUUUAUAAACAAUGCAUCCAAGCAAUUGUUGAAACAACAAAAGCAAAAGAGGUGUAUAGACUACCAGCUCCUCCUCGCGAUGGAAGAUCUCUAAGCAUUAGUGAAUUAUCAGAGUUAGAAAGGAUGGUUGGUGGAAUGCCAGACCCAUCCUUUGUCAAUCAACUUCUGCAGAACCUAGCCAUUAUGCGGAUAAUGCAGAGUCUCCUCUCCAAUCCUCAGUUUAUGAAUCAGACAUUUUUUUUAAAAAAAAACUUAUUAUUAGAGAUGGAAUUGUUGUUGCCAUCAAUUUUUUAUAUUUUAUCCGAUUGCUUACCAUCAGGCUCUGAGUCAACAACUACAUAACUUAUUGGAUUCCAACGCUCAGCUUAGCAAUAUGUCGCAGAAUCCAGAAUUGAUUCGGCAACUUACUUCUUCUGAGACACUGCAGGUAGAUGCAUUUGCAAUGCUUUGAUACAUUACUUGUGCUCUGUUAUCAAAUCUUUAUUUGUCUGGUUUACAACAACUUCUAUCAUUUCAGCUGACACUUUUAUCCUCAGGUGGUCAACGGCAAAUAAACUAGUGAGUUAUGAGAUUGUUUUCAUUUGAAUCAAUAUUAGUCCUCUCCUGAUAACUACCAUGUAAUCACUUAUCUAAAAAUGUUGGUUCUAGGUUGAUACUCGAUUAUUUCUCUCUUGUAUCUCCAUGGCCGGGCAUUGCUUUCAAAUAACAAAAUCUGCUAAAGAACUAAGAUGGAAUUGUUAAGUUUGACGUGUCUUUACAAAUAGAUAAUUGUUGUUUCUUUCUCAUUCAAAAAUGGAAUGAGAAUUUUAACGUAAUGGUAAAGUGUUGCCUUGUGUCAUUGAGAUCAUGAGUUCAAUUCGUGGAAAUAACUUCUUACAAUGCAGGGUGAUCUAACCUUUCCCCAAAACUCUGUAUUGAUAAGAGCUUCAUGUAUCUUGUUGUCCUUUUUUUAUUCAAAAAUGAGUUAGCUAUUUUUGUUAGAGUGAUGACAACAUUGUUUAUUUUACCAUACCAUAUCGUCUCGUUUGAUGUCUAUAAAAUUGCACCAGAAAAACUAUUUUGCCAAAUACAUGGUAAGAAACCUAAAUGGAAGUCAUUUUUUUUCUUUCUUUUUUGACACAAGUCAUUCAUUGUACUUCAAACUCCCAUAUAUUUAUUUUGAUGGCAUAGCUCUUGCAAAUUUCUAAAUCCUGCUUAAGUUGCAUCUUAGUUCAGAUCUUCAUUGAAGGCUCAAUGUUACUGAUCUGACAGUGAUCAAUGUAAAAUACAGUUUGCAUCAGAUUUUAUCUAAUGAUUGUAGUGACUGGAUGUGGAUGUAUUGCACAUUGAUGUCAAAAAUUGUUAUAAAUAAAGAUUAAUAAUAGUUAGAGUACAACUCAAGUUUAUAAUGAGUAGGAUCAAGUAAUUCAUUUGAAGGUCAAUGAAAUGAACACAGAAUUACUUUAGUUCUAUUUUAAACUUUGGCAUUUUACCAAGCAGAGCUCUUGCCUUCUCAUUUAGGGAACAAAAUCAGACUAGUGCCACUGCAACAGGUACAAGAAAUUCCAAUGAUCCGUCCUCGAUCGUCAUAUCUGAGAAUUGGCCAGUCGGUCAUAAACUUGAGUCCUGAGUUUGUAGUACUAUGUAUUUGAAUAAGAAACUGCAUUUAUCAUCUCCUUUCGCUGCAGGAGCAAUCAACACCAAUCGGUUGGAAUUUUUGAUGAAUAUGCUUAGUGGACUUAGGUCAGAAACGGGGGUUCCUAACUCUGAUGGUUGCAUAUUUAUCCUGUCUUAACAAAAAUACUAUAAUGUAUAAUUACAUAUUUCUUCAGAUCAAGCAAUUUGUACUAAAUACAUUAUUGUUUUUUUGUUGCAAUGCCUCUAGAGAAAUGAUAUACAACACAACUUUCCCAGUUAUAGGAAAUGAGUUUCUUUGACACUUAAGAAAAUAUUCGCGCUUUGCAAGCAACCCGGCAAUUUCUCUAUCUCCGCUUGGAUGACCAAGUUUUGCUCUGUUCUGAAGUCUCUUUUCUUUUGUUUUACUGGCUGAGCGUUCGGUCGGACGUAUAACUCAUGCUGAGCCACACUCGACGAAAUAUUGGAAAGCUCGUGUGUCGUCGAAAGCAACUACUUUCAUUACUGCCAAUCUAGAGGACGAGAAAAAGACGGAAUUGGUAGCUUGCCUCAGACAGAAUCAUGAUGUGUUCGCUUAGAUGACACACGAGCUUUCCGAUAUUUCGGACCGGGCGCUUAGCUAGUAGAACAAAAGAAAAGGAAUUUCAGCACGGAGCAGAACUUAGUCAUCCGAGUGGAGACAGAGAAAUUGCUAGGUUGCUUGUAAAGCGCGAAUAUUUUCUAAGUGUCAAAGAAGCCCAUUUCCUGUAGCUAAGAAAGCUGUGUUGCAUAUCAUUCCUCUGGAGGCACUGCAACAUAAAGACAAUAAUGUAUUAAGUACAAAUUGCUUGAUAUGAAGAAAUCUGUAAUUAUACAUUAUAGUAUUUUGUUAAGACAGGAUAGAAAUGCAACCAUUAGAGUUAGGAACUCCCGUUUUUGACCCAAGUCCACUAAGUAUAUUCAUAAAAAAUUCCAACCGAUUGGUGUUGAUUGCUCCUGCAGCAAAAGGAGAUGAUCAAUGCAGUUUCUUAUUCAAAUGCAGAGUACUACAAACUCAAGCUUAUGACCAACUGGCUAAUUCUCAGAUAUGACGAUCAAGGACGGGUCAUUGGAAUUUCUUGUACCUGUUGCAGUGGCACCAAUCUGAUUUUGUUCCUUGAACGAUAAGGCAAGAGCUCUGCUUGAUAAAAUGCCAAAGUUUGAAACAGAACUAAAGCAAUUCUGUGUUCAUUUAAUUGACCUUCAAAUGAAUUAUUUGAUCCUACUCAUUAUAAACUUAAGCUGUACUCUAACUAUUAUUAAUCUUUAUUUAAAAUAAUUUUUGGCAUCAAUGUGCAAUACAUCCACAUCCAGUCACUACAAUCAUCAGAUAAAAUCUUAUGCAAACUAUAUUUUACAUUGAUCACUGUCAGAUCAGUAACAUUGAGCCUUCAAUGAAGAUCUGAACUAAAAGAUGAAACUUAAGCAGACUUUAGAAAUUUGCUAGAGCUAUGCCAUCAAAAUAAAUAUAUGGGAGUUUGAAGUACAAUGAAUGACUUGUGUCAAAAAAAAGAGAAAAAAAUGACUUCCAUUUAGGUUUCUUACCAUGUAUUUGGCAAAAUAGUUUUUGUGGUGCAGUUUUAUAGACUUCAAACGAGAUGAUAUGGUAUGGUAACAUGGGGAAAGGUCAGAUCACCCUGCAUUGUAAGAAGUUAUUUCCACGAAUUGAACUCAUGAUCUCAAUGUCACAAGGCAACAACUUUACCAUUGCGUCAAAAUUCUCAUUCCGUUUUUGAAUGAGAAAGAAACAACAAUUAUCUAUUUGUAAAGACACGUCAAACUUAACAAUUCCAUCUUAGUUCUUUAGCAGAUUUUGUUAUUUGAAAGCAAUGCCAGACCAUAGAGAUACAAGAGACAAAUAAUCGAGUAUCAGCCUAGAACCAACAUUUUUAGAUAAGUGAUUACAUGGUAGUUAUCAGGGAGAGGACUAGUAUUGAUUCAAAUGAAAAUAAUCUCACAACUCACUGGUUUAUUUGCCGCUGACCACCUGAGGAUAAAAGUGUCUGCUGAAAUGAUAGAAGUUGUUGUAAACCAGACAAAUAAAGAUUUGAUAACAGAUCACAAGUAAUGUAACAAAACGUUGCAAAUGCAUCUACCUGCAGUGUCUCAGAAGAAGUAAGCUACCGAAUCAAUUCUGGAUUCUGCGACAUACUGCUAAGUUGAGCAUUGGAACCCAAUAAGUUAUGUAGUUGUUGACUCAGAGCCUGAUGG